GACGAACGCUGGCGGCGUGCUUAACACAUGCAAGUCGAACGGAAAGGCCCUGCAUUUGUGGGGUGUUCGAGUGGCGAACGGGUGAGUAACACGUGAGUAACCUGCCCUUGACUUUGGGGUAACUUCAGGAAACUGGGGCUAAUACCGGAUAGGAGCUCCUGCUGCAUGGUGGGGGGUGGAAAGUUUCGGCGGUUUGGGAUGGACUCGCGGCUUAUCAGCUUGUUGGUGGGGUAGUGGCUUACCAAGGCUUUGACGGGUAGCCGGCCUGAGAGGGUGACCGGCCACAUGGGGACUGAGAUACGGCGCAGACUCCUACGGGAGGCAGCAGUGGGGAAUAUGGCACAAUGGGCGGAAGCCUAAUGCAGCAACGCCGCGUGCGGGAUGACGGCCUUCGGGUUGUAAACCGCUUUCGCCUGUGACGAAGCGUGAGUGACGGUAAUGGGUAAAGAAGCACCGGCUAACUACGUG
rnacentral:rRNA from 1 species